CAUAGUGUAUUUUAUAUGAGAACUGUUGCUGAAAUCACAAAGUUACUUUAACUACCCCAGUGGUGGUGAGUUUCCGCUGGGUGUGAAAAUUAACUACGUUUUUAAAGUGAUGAAACUUCUGAGCUUAUGAUGACUUCUCUUUCAAAAGUAUAUCCUCCAAAUUCUGAGGCUUAUGUAGCCUUACUUCCUCAGUCUUUUAAUCAUCUUUCUGUCCCACAAUUCUCUUAUUUACUCUUUUUCUACUGUAGAAACAGCAGGUCCAUAUUUCUGACUGUGCAGGAAUUGGAGGCCCACACCAAGCAGUGUGACAUACUUGAAUGACAAAAUAAUGGAGUGAUCCCAGGGACUCAGGAGUCAUGGCAGAGGAAUUUAUUGCUUAGCAACCCAGACAAAUGUCAAGAGUCUUACCAAAUGCAGAUGAUGCUCUGUGGAAGAGACCUGCUUCAAGUCAGGUCAAGUAAAAACAACCUUGCCAGCAAGAUCCAUCAGUGAGGUCACUGAGAGAAGAGGAAACAUACACAAAGCUGCAUGAAAAAGAUAAUUCACCUUAUCAGUGCAACAGAAGUUUCAUAACAACGUAACUCCAGCAGGACACCUCCAUAUGAAUGGCUUUCCAUAGCACCAUACUGGGCAGAUUGCCAGCAAGUUCUACCAGCUUAGCACCACAGUGACUUCUCUGUCAUCUGGUGAGCCUAUGAUCGCCAAUAAAGGUCUGGAUCUCAGCCUGGGCUCUCUUCCUUGGAUCUAUGCUGAACCUAACUGGAAACUGGGUGGCAAGAGUUGAUACAGUCCACACAGGUCGGCCUCCUGGGCAGAGAUCAGAGUAGGACAGGAUGAAGAACACAUCUGGAGGGUCAAAGAGAAGCUAUGACACAGGAUCCUUAUUAAUCAAAGUGUGAUCCAUUGACCACCAUCAUCAGCAUCUGCUGGAGCCUAUUAGGAAUGCAGAAUACCAGGCCCCAUCACAGACCAGUUACUGAAUUGGAAUCUGCAUUGUAACAAACUUCUCAGAGCUCUCUCUCAGGACUAUUCUGGCUUCUCAGGAUCCAUUGCCCUUGCCCAGGAGAGAGAGCCUCGCUGGGACCCAGAAACCGCGAAAGAAGAUUCGACCUACCUGUGGAACCAGACACAACUUGGUCCCCAAAGGUCGCUUA
rnacentral:lncRNA from 1 species